rnacentral:piRNA from 1 species
UGAACUAUUAGGUUGGUAUAAUUUCCCUU